rnacentral:rRNA from 1 species
CCUACGGUGCGCAGCAGUGGGGAAUAUUGGACAAUGGGGGGAACCCUGAUCCAGCGACGCCGCGUGAGUGCAGAAGUAUUUCGGUAUGUAAAGCUCUAUCAGCAGGGAAGAAAGAAAUGACGGUACCUGACUAAGAAGCCCCGGCUAACUACGUGCCAGCAGCCGCGGUAAUACGUAGGGGGCAAGCGUUAUCCGGAUUUACUGGGUGUAAAGGGAGCGUAGACGGCGAUGCAAGUCUGAAGUGAAAGGCGGGGGCCCAACCCCCGGACUGCUUUGGAAACUGUAUGGCUGGAGUGCAGGAGAGGUAAGUGGAAUUCCUAGUGUAGCGGUGAAAUGCGUAGAUAUUAGGAGGAACACCAGUGGCGAAGGCGGCUUACUGGACUGUAACUGACGUUGAGGCUCGAAAGCGUGGGGAGCAAACAGGAUUAGAUACCCCGGUAGUC